rnacentral:lncRNA from 1 species
CCUUGUUUGCGACCUUCUUCUUAGGAGCUUUCUUUUUUGGCCUAUUCUCGUUCUUCUGCUUUUUGAUGGGCUUCUUCUUUUUCCUAGUAGACUUUCUUUUGGAUGAUGAAGCCCGCUCCACAGUAAGAACAGUGCUCCUUAAACUUUUCAAGGUCCCUUCGGUGGUUACCAGCAUGUUCAAUAGUUCAGUCUUGGUGCAGUCGAUUUUGUUCAUGUGGUAGUUUACUAUAAAUUGUCCAUCUGAGUCAAGAAGGGAUUGAAGGAUCAGAUCAACUUACAAUUCCUUAUCCAUAACCAUUUCAAGCUUCUCAAGCUUUUCAAAAUCUUUGAUCAUUAUCAAAUAAUGAUCAUGAACACAUUGUCCUUCACGCAUCUUUGUCUUGAAGAGUCUCUUGGAUACUUUAUAGCAUGCUAAUCUGCUCUGUUCACUAUACAACUCCUUGAGUUGAUCAAGUAUGGUCUUGACAGUUUUUAUGUCCUCGGGCUAUCGUUGGAGUUCAUUCGACAUGGAUGCCAACACAGCACCAGGCCUUGUUGUCAUUGUUCGACCAUUUUUCAAGUGCUGCCUUUUGGUCAGCAGUUGGACGGGCUGGUAGCAUAGGGAUAUCCUGAUCCAUGACAUAGCUUAGCUUCUCGGAACUUAAAAUAAUUUUUAAGUUUUGGUGCCAGUCUUUGUAAUUUGAACUGAUUAGAUGGUUGGUUUUGAGUAUAUGGAUGAGAGGGUUGGAGAUAGACAUUUCCUAACAG